UACGUAGGGGGCGAGCGUUGUCCGGAGUUACUGGGCGUAAAGCGCACGCAGGCGGUCUGUUAAGUUUGGAGUGACAGUUGGUGGCUCAACCACCAAAGUGCUUUGAAAACUGAUAGACUUGAGGGCUUCAGAGGGACACGGAAUUCCGGGUGGAGUGGUGAAAUGCGUAGAUAUCUGGAGGAACACCGGUGGCGAAGGCGGCAUCCUGGACCGGCAUUGACGCUGAGGGCGCGAAAAGCC
rnacentral:rRNA from 1 species